rnacentral:rRNA from 1 species
AGCGAACGCUGGCGGCAGGCUUAACACAUGCAAGUCGAACGGGCACUUCGGUGCUAGUGGCAGACGGGUGAGUAACACGUGGGAACGUACCUUUCGGUUCGGAAUAAUACAGGGAAACUUGUACUAAUACCGGAUACGCCCUUCGGGGAAGAUUUAUCGCCGAUAGAUCGGCCCGCGUCUGAUUAGCUAGUUGGUGAGGUAAUGGCUCACCAAGGCGACGAUCAGUAGCUGGUCUGAGAGGAUGAUCAGCCACACUGGGACUGAGACACGGCCCAGACUCCUACGGGAGGCAGCAGUGGGGAAUAUUGGACAAUGGGCGAAAGCCUGAUCCAGCCAUGCCGCGUGUGUGAUGAAGGCCUUAGGGUUGUAAAGCACUUUUGUCCGGGAAGAUAAUGACUGUACCGGAAGAAUAAGCCCCGGCUAACUUCGUGCCAGCAGCCGCGGUAAU